rnacentral:rRNA from 1 species
ACUGGGAUAACUCCGGGAAACCGGAGCUAAUACCGGAUAGUUCCUUGAACCGCAUGGUUCAAGGAUGAAAGACGGUUUCGGCUGUCACUUACAGAUGGACCCGCGGCGCAUUAGCUAGUUGGUGGGGUAAUGGCUCACCAAGGCGACGAUGCGUAGCCGACCUGAGAGGGUGAUCGGCCACACUGGGACUGAGACACGGCCCAGACUCCUACGGGAGGCAGCAGUAGGGAAUCUUCCGCAAUGGACGAAAGUCUGACGGAGCAACGCCGCGUGAGUGAUGAAGGUUUUCGGAUCGUAAAGCUCUGUUGUUAGGGAAGAACAAGUGCGAGAGUAACUGCUCGCACCUUGACGGUACCUAACCAGAAAGCCACGGCUAACUACGUGCCAGCAGCCGCGGUAAUACGUAGGUGGCAAGCGUUGUCCGGAAUUAUUGGGCGUAAAGGGCUCGCAGGCGGUUUCUUAAGUCUGAUGUGAAAGCCCCCGGCUCAACCGGGGAGGGUCAUUGGAAACUGGGAAACUUGAGUGCAGAAGAGGAGAGUGGAAUUCCACGUGUAGCGGUGAAAUGCGUAGAGAUGUGGAGGAACACCAGUGGCGAAGGCGACUCUCUGGUCUGUAACUGACGCUGAGGAGCGAAAGCGUGGGGAGCGAACAGGAUUAGAUACCCUGGUAGUCCACGCCGUAAACGAUGAGUGCUAAGUGUUAGGGGGUUUCCGCCCCUUAGUGCUGCAGCUAACGCAUUAAGCACUCCGCCUGGGGAGUACGGUCGCAAGACUGAAACUCAAAGGAAUUGACGGGGGCCCGCACAAGCGGUGGAGCAUGUGGUUUAAUUCGAAGCAACGCGAAGAACCUUACCAGGUCUUGACAUCCUCUGACAACCCUAGAGAUAGGGCUUUCCCUUCGGGGACAGAGUGACAGGUGGUGCAUGGUUGUCGUCAGCUCGUGUCGUGAGAUGUUGGGUUAAGUCCCGCAACGAGCGCAACCCUUGAUCUUAGUUGCCAGCAUUCAGUUGGGCACUCUAAGGUGACUGCCGGUGACAAACCGGAGGAAGGUGGGGAUGACGUCAAAUCAUCAUGCCCCUUAUGACCUGGGCUA